UAGUUGUAGGUGGGUGGUGGGUGGCUGUGGUGUUAAGGUCGGUUGUAGGUGGGUGGUCGGAGAAUCGAUGCCGGAGAAUCGAUGUUAAGGUCGGUUGCAGGUUUGUUUUUGGGGAUUAAGGUCGGUUGCAGGUUUGUUUUUGGGGAUUAAGGUCGGUUGCAGGUUUGUUUUUGGGGAUUUUUGGGCGUUUUUGAUUUGUUUGAUUUUGGGGAUUUUUGGGGUUUUUGAUUUUUGGUCAGUGGGUGGCAGGUGGGUGGUCGGAGAAUCAAUGCCGGAUAUGUUUGGUAACUUUUCGUUUGUCUUGCUGUUCAAGUGGAUUGUCUCGUUUCUGUUUUGAAGGAGAGCAAGUCAAAGCAAAUACAUGUUUGCUAUGUCGGCCAGUAACGCAGGUUUGCGAAUGCUGGUAAACAAGGGACCACAGAUGGGGUAAUGGAGGUAUCUAUCAAGAACACGAUUCUUGAAAUAUUGAUCUCGAACACACAUCUGUGUGGACUUGUGAUCUGGUAUAGGCUGGACAUCUACAUCACACUGUUUAAUUUUUAGAUUUUAAAUAAUUUUUUUCCAACUAUUUUCGUGGGUGAAGUGUUAUUGUUUUUUAACA